GUGUGCUAGAUGGGAAGCUAGCGGUCUCCUGUUACCUGAAAUCCGCUAUAUGCAGGGUUGAAUUCCGAUAGGAGGGUCUUGCUGAAUAAAUGGAUGAUUAUAAGCGGUGUUGAUGUUUUCAGUUUUACGCAAUAAGUAUUUUUUUGAAUCCGCCAGGUCUGGAAAGAAGCAACGGUAGAAAAUAUAUUUAUGUGCCGUAAAAUCCUGAUGCUGAGCUGGCUGUUUUUUUGUAUUUAUGUACAGAAGAUUCAACUAUCGGUGCACAA
rnacentral:SRP_RNA from 1 species